rnacentral:rRNA from 1 species
AGGGAUGAAAGCUGGGGGAGCAAACCGGAUUAGAUACCCGGGUAGUCCCAGCUGUAAACGAUGCAGACUCGAUGAUGCAUUGGCAUAUAGCCAUUGCAGUGUCGCAGGGAAGCCGUUAAGUCUGCCGCCUGGGAAGUACGUACGCAAGUAUGAAACUUAAAGGAAUUGGCGGGGGAGCACCACAAGGGGUGAAGCCUGCGGUUCAAUUGGAGUCAACGCCAGAAAUCUUACCCGGAGAGACAGCAGAAUGAAGGUCAAGCUGAAGACUUUACCAGACAAGCUGAGAGGUGGUGCAUGGCCGUCGCCAGCUCGUGCCGUGAGAUGUCCUGUUAAGUCAGGUAACGAGCGAGAUCCCUGCCGCUAGUUGCUAUCAUUAUUCUCAGGAAUAGUGGAGCGAAUUAGUGGGACUGCCGUUGUUAAAACGGAGGAAGGAAGGGGCUACGGCAGGUCAGUAUGCCCCGAAACUCUGGGGCCACACGCGGGCUGCAAUGGUAGUGACAAUGAGUUCCAAACUCGAAAGAGAGUGGCAAUCUCUAAACGCUACCACAGUUAUGACUGAGGGCUGUAACUCGCCCUCACGAAUAUGGAAUCCCUAGUAACCGCGUGUCAUUACCGCGCGGUGAAUACGUCCCUGCUCCUU